UACGAAGGGGGCUAGCGUUGCUCGGAAUCACUGGGCGUAAAGGGCGCGUAGGCGGCCAUUCAAGUCGGAGGUGAAAGCCCAGGGCUCAACCCUGGAAUUGCCUUCGAUACUGUUUGGCUAGAGACCGGAAGAGGUAAGUGGAACUGCGAGUGUAGAGGUGAAAUUCGUAGAUAUUCGCAAGAACACCAGUGGCGAGGGCGGCUUACUGGUCCGGUUCUGACGCUGAGGCGCGAAAGCGUGGGGAGCGAACAGG
rnacentral:rRNA from 1 species